rnacentral:misc_RNA from 1 species
AAAGUCGUAACAAGGUCUCCGUAGGUGAACCUGCGGAGGGAUCAUUCACAUGAUUACUUUAUUUAAACAAACCGUGAACUUUAUAUACUAUUCGUGUAGUAAUUUAUUACUUACACUGUCAUUCGAUGAACAUUAGAUAGCUGGCUCGUAUUUUAUACUUUCUCAGCUGAUUUGUUUGUUAGACUAAACAUCUAUUCAAUCAAUCAACCAAACAUAGAAACAACUCUAUGCCCUGGAUAUCUUGGUUCUC